UACGUAGGGUGCGAGCGUUGUCCGGAAUUACUGGGCGUAAAGAGCUCGUAGGUGGUUUGUCGCGUUGUUCGUGAAAUCUCACGGCUUAACUGUGAGCGUGCGGGCGAUACGGGCAGACUGGAGUACUGCAGGGGAGACUGGAAUUCCUGGUGUAGCGGUGGAAUGCGCAGAUAUCAGGAGGAACACCGGUGGCGAAGGCGGGUCUCUGGGCAGUAACUGACGUGAGGCGCGAAAGCGUGGGGAGCAAACAGG
rnacentral:rRNA from 1 species